rnacentral:sRNA from 1 species
UCUCUUUGUAGGGUCCUAAUUUCCA